AGGAAAUUGCAACUUUUGGCCCAAAGGUUUGAAUAAUUAAAUUCAAACCUAUAGUUUUUUUUAAUAUAAUUUUGGGACUCACAAUCUCAUUUUUAUAUUAUUUUUCUCUCUUCCUCUCACGUUGCUCGGCGUUUUCUCGCAAGGGGGGAUUAUUUUCUUUUUCUUCAGAUUAUAUUGACAAAGAUAGUGGUGAAAGAGGAGUUGUGAAGGGGAACUUGUUAUUCAAGACACAAGGAGCGAAUCCGGCCGAGAAAGCACCAAAGGUGUAAUUAUGGUGUAUGAGACACCAUCUUUUACGUUGCCUCUUAUUUUGGAUUAUACAAUGUAUCUUGUGCCAACUUAGGACAUAUCUUGUCUAUGGAGCAUGUAAACUCUAAUCCUUUUUAUUAAAUGCAUUUAUAUGUCCAAGAGGAUUAUGUCUGUC